GCUUAGUUAGCUUGGUAGGUAGCGCGUCGGCCUUGUAAGCGAUGCUAGGCCGCGGGUUCGAUUCCCGCCCUGGGCG
rfam:Asian citrus Psyllid, Diaphorina citri - Florida Strain, whole genome shotgun sequence.